GACGUGCUGCACUGAGCUGAUUGAUAGUUGGGAAAGUAAACUAGCUAAUUCAGAUGGAUCACAAGAAAUAGACAUUUGGAAAGAGUUCCAGAACCUCAGUGGAGACGUGAUCUCACGCACGGCUUUCGGAAGCAGCUUCAUGGAAGGACGAAGGAUCUUCCAACUUCAAGCAGAACAAGCCGAGCGAGUAAUCAAAGCGUUUCAGUAUAUUUACAUCCCAGGUUACUUGUAAGUAUCCUCCUUUAUUUUAACUAAGAUUUGCAGGAUGACCCAAUGAUUUAUUACGUAUAUUGCACUAAGUUUUUAAGUGUUUAGUAUAUUGAUUUUGAGACAUCAAUAUACUAUUUCAAAUUAUACAAAUCUUGUAGCCCAAAUUCCAUGACUUGUCAAAAUUUGUAUUGUCAUCUCUAUUAGUAAGUUGCCACUAAAAUUUUAUUUAAAAACAUUAUAAGUGUAUUGGAUUGUUGCUAAGGACCUGGUGUGUGACAAUGGAAGAACAAUGGCACUAAGAUUUGGGAUCCUUGAUGCAAAACCAUAUAACUCGUGCUAAUCUCCAAAUUUUCCUCUCCUCCACUCCACAAUCCCGAUCCCUCAUUGUCAAUCUUUAUGAUUUGUUUUUGAGAAAUUUAACAUCCAGGAUUAAGUCUAAAACUUCAGGCCGGCCGGCCUAGUACGUGAACCUUGUAUUCGCUCUUUCGUUCAUCACAGGAGAUUUGCCAUUGCUUUUUUUAUUCCGAUUAAUGUAGUAUCAUGCCUUCGGAUAUUGAUGUUACCUGUUAGGCAUCUCCAUCUAAAUCUAAUUGCCUAUCUAUCUUUCAAACAUAUUUUCUCACACACUUUCAUCAUAUCUUGUUUCUUUUUUUACAUUUUUCUAUCCUUUUGAUACUGGUUUGGAUCGACUUGCAUUUUUCAUGAUUGGAAAAUAUAUAUUAAUUAUAUAUUAAUUGUUGUAUAGACCUGAGAUUUAGGUUGAUUAUUUUCAUCUUUCUUUUGCUUGGGCUUGUAUUUUGUAAAAUAAAAUAAAAUUGUUACUUUGUUCUAGUUUCUGUUCCAACACUCUGUUUCGGUUGAACUGUUCAUACAACCGCUUCAUUUUUCAUCAAACAGAAAUCAAUUGUCAAUUAUUACUCCCUCCGUCCAACAAAGGAUGUCUCGACUUUGACCAAAUUUAAAUACAUCUAUACACUAAGUCAUGUCUAGAUAUAUCCAAAUUUUAACAAACUUGAGACAUCUUUUGUUGGACGGAGGGAGUACAAUUUUUUAUCAUGCAUCAAAUUGCUAAAUUUAAAUAAAAGUUAUGCCAAAGUGUAAACCAAGUGAAAUCCAACGAUAGUCUUGGUUCUGCUGGUCGUAUGUCCAGAAAAACACAUCUCCCAGAGAAAAGGGUCCAUGUAGAGUUAUGUAUAUCCCUGUGUGGGCUUACAAAUUAACUUGCCAGUGGAUCCUGAAUGAACCCUUCAUGUACAUGAACAUGAUGUGUGCGAACAAAGCUGUUAGCGUCGUAUGCACGUGUGACACAUAUUUAGAUUACGUGGAAGAACGUGGCAGCUUGUUUGCCACUUGUAUUAAUAAUACUUACUGUUUUAAGAAGAUUCUUUUCAUUGUUGUGUAGAAUUAAACCAGUCUUUCAAUAUACAUAUAAUUGCUUUGCGUUUUCCAGAUUCUUUCCUACUGAAAACAACAAGAGGAUGAGGGAAAUCAAUCGGGAGAUCGAAGGGCUCCUGAGAGGCAUCAUUGAGAAGAGAGAGAGCACAAAAGAGAGCAAUGAGCAUGGAGACGAUUUGCUUGGUUUGCUGCUGCAAUCGAAUAAGGCCAGUGGGACAUCUAGCCUGAGGAUGAGCAUAGAGGAUGUGAUUGAGGAGUGCAAGCUCUUCUACUUUGCGGGGAUGGAGACUACAUCAGUGUUGCUCACAUGGACACUUGUCGUGCUCAGCAUGCACCCCGAGUGGCAGGAUAAAGCGAGGGAGGAGGUUCUAAGCGUGUUUGGCAAGGACAAGCCCAGCUUCGACUGUAUGAAUCGACUGAAAACGGCAAGUGUUUCGCACGGUUUUCUUAGCGCUACAUAAGUAAUUCUAGUUUACAAUUUGCAUGAAUGUUUGCUCAUUGCUAACUAACCUUUGGCUCCAAAUUUUUCAUCCAGGUGACAAUGAUAUUGUACGAGGUGCUCAGGUUGUACCCACCAGUAGUCACGCUGAAUCGAAAGACAUUCAAAGAAAUGCGUAUAGGAGACAUCUCAUACCCUGCAGGGAUAGUCGUUGAGUUGCCUGUAAUCUUGGUCCACCACAAUCCAAACAUAUGGGGAAAAGACGUGUUGGAGUUCAAGCCCCAGAGGUUUGCGGAGGGGAUUUCCAAAGCGACCAAGGACCGACCAGCUUUCUUCCCAUUCGGUUCGGGGCCGAGGAUCUGCAUCGGUCAGAACUUUGCAAUGCUCGAGGCUAAGAUGGCACUAAGCAUGAUCCUUCAGCGUUUUGAGUUUGAACUCUCAUUGUCAUAUGCCCAUGCACCAUACACUGUCGUCACACUGCAUCCUCAACAUGGUGCACAAAUUAUAAUCAAGAGCCUCAGAUGAUUAUCAUAUCUGGAAUCUCCGUGGACAUAUCUGUCGCGGGGUAGUCUUUUUUCCGAAUGGGCGUGCGGUGGAAAACAGUGACAACUUGUAACAAUAGGCAUAUAAAUUUAUCACGAGUAAUAAAUUUUAAGAUGACGAGAUAAGUUGUAGAGUGAGUGCUAUAAAUUAAUUAUGAUGUGGUUAUUGGUUGUAAAGACAGAAAGCGUUACACGCUUAUACUGGAGCCACAUAUGUACUAGUCUGGUGGUCCCUAGCCAUGACAUGACAUGUUUGAUGUUGUGUCACAUGCUAAAUAUACCACUAUGAUGUGAAUUUGGUGCAUAUACAUUAGUAUAAAAUUGUAUUAUCAGCGACACUUAUUAUAUAUUGGAGGGAGUAGUAUGAUACUAUUGAACCUUGUGGGAUCUAGCCAUUAAUUGUUAGUGUGAACUAUGUCCAUCUUAUUUUUGUUUGGUGAGAGACAACAGCUUUCUUCUCGGUUCAGUUCGUUUAGAAAAAGCAGACCUCAUGCUAUUAUGCUUUUCCCCGUGAUUUUAAGGUGUGCGUGACCUUAUGAGGCGUGGUAAUUGGUAGAGUUUCAUGCAGUAACCCAUAAAUUAAGGUAAAAUUUUGUUACCAACAUAUCAGCUCCAGCUUACAGUUACAGUACCACCACGAUGAUAAUGUAGUUACCUAACAGUCCACGUUAAAAGAACUACUUCCUCCGUCCGGAAAUAAGUGACUUGAAUUUAUAUAUAAUCAAGUCACUUAUUUCCGGACGGAGGGACUACUAUGUUACGGACGGAGCUAGUAGUUACCCACACUUGUCCAAUUUAUAAUUAAAAAGAACAAUGACGAUGGGAAAUUGGGACUCAGUGAAAUUCAACGCAAUUUAAAGAUGCGCAUCACUGUAAAUGAGAAAAUAGAAUCAAGUAUUGAAUGUUCAUUUCUCUCAGAAUUCUUACAUUUACAUAAAAACGUUGUUAAUUAGAUGAGAAAUAUCCCUAAUUAAGAAUUCCAACUUAACAACUAGCUAGGAUUACAAUAUAUGACUAUUCAAAAACAAAACAUAGAAAAGAAAAUCCUCCUCCCUCAUGCUCGAGGAACUUGAAGUCUGUUCAUGCAAAUAUUUUAAUAUUAUGUUUAGAAUUUUGGAAUAUAUGAUUCUACCAUGGAGCAAAUUUCUGAAUUUCUUUUACAGUAGUAAUAUCUAGUGUACGUUUUCUUUCUAAAAUGGAUGCUUUUAUUGAUCUCACAAUUUAUAUAGAAUUACAGAGUAUCACACCCAGUAGCGGAUCUAGGAUGUUAUCAUCAGGGGUGCCACGUUUGAUACGUAUAGAUCAAUUGGUAGUAAUAUCACAAAUACUACAUGAGUGUAUAAUUUUAUUGUCAAAACUUAACAACAUUACAUUUUUAUUUUUAUUUUUUUGAGGAAUGAAGAACAUGUUGUGCUUUGAGAAGUCGCUAGUAUUUUAGUUAAAAAUUAGUUGACGUGCUUGACCGUUGGAUUUUAAUCCAUGAAAAAUGUGGAAAAAGAAAAGGUGAGGAUGACAUCUAGAUCUUAAUCCAACGGACCUGAUGUGUCAACUGAGAUUUAAGUGUUUUUCUUAAAAAUCAGACGUAUGAGGUAUAGUCACACCUAAAAAACAUUGGCUAAAAGACUAGGAGGCUAUGAUUAGCUGAUUUGAUAUAUUAGUGAACAAAUAUCACAUAGUACGAGAAUUUUUGAAAAAUUCUGGCACCCCCUAGGUCCGCCCCUAAUCACCCUCCCGGCUUCUGUGUCGAAACGCACACAGUUAAAGGUACCACGCACACACACACCGAAAAGAAAAAUAGCAACACUAAGCAGACGAAAUUCAUCGACUAGAUCGUCAUCCAAUGGCUGAAAAUGUCCCUAACGGAUAGCUACCCGGCUUGAGGCUGGUAUUCAUGAUCUUUAGUCUAGAUUUUCCGCAGAACAAAUCUGAUUUUGCUUGUCCCUUUGUUUGGCACGUCUUUUUCGACAGAAACGUCGUUCGUGGCCAUCUAGAAAUUCUCACGGUAAAAGAAAGGGAAAAAAGGAAGAGGAGAAAAACAUGUGAUGCCAAGCAAAACACCUAUCGCUGGCUACAUUUUCUACGCGCCUAAAAAUCAUUCGAUCAGUUUCCACGAAACCACGGCUACUCUUGGUACAGCACAGCAGUCACUCCACAGUACACAGCUUGCUGGUUUAAAAGCCUCAGAAUUAGUCUGAAGAUCACACGAGUCAGUAAGAAACUAAUGGAGGUCGACGUAGCAGCAACGGCACUCGUAGGUGGUGUGGCUUCUCCAUCACCGUGGAGCCUGCUGCUCUCCGGUCUCGCUGCCCUGCUCGUCCUGUGGGCAGCCUCCCUGGCCGCGGAGCGAUGCUGGCUGAGGCCGCGGCGGCUCGGCCGGGCGCUACAAGCGCAGGGGCUCCGCGGCACCGCGUACCUUUUCCCGACCGGUGAUCUCACGGAGAACGGCAGGCUCCACGAGGAGGCGCGGUCCAGGCCCAUGCCGUGGUGCCACGACAUAGCGCCCCGCGUGGUACCACACCUCCACCACGCUGUCAGGGAGCACGGUACGUGAUAACAUGUGGAUUAUGUUGUUUCAGUGGCUGGAUUUUUUUUUUCUUCCCCUUCUGAGUCCAAUAUGUUUGUUUCCGGCGUGUGAACAUUGAGCUCGACGCGUUUGAAAGUGUUGCCAGCUAUUGGAUGUAAUUAAAAGAUUAUAUUUUGAGGCUUGCUUCGGUAAACUCCGCUUACAAAAAAAUAAAAGGGUAAUUUUGUCCAAAAUUAAUUUUUCCCCUGAUGAACGAAACAAUUCAGAUUCUAUCAAAUCGGUAAUAGAUGGAGCAGGAGAGCAACUAUAUUGAGAACAGUUUGGCCCAGCACCUGCACUUGAAGCAUCAAAGAUGGCUUGGAUUCUAUAAUGGAAUCUUAGCUCGUUGUAACUUUCAAAAGAUGGCUUGGCGUAUGUAGGUUUUUCCUUGCACUGCCGCCGGCUGCUGCUUUUUACCGUUUGGCGGGCCUAAUCAUCCUAUACCUGUAUACCAUCCCAUUCUUAGCUAAAAUACGCUGAUCGCAGUCCGCCUAACCAUUGUUGUCAAACUUUUCUCCUUGAUCUUCCUCUUUGUAGGCUUAUGCGACAUACGUCGUGAUUGAAGUAUGGACAUUGACGUGUUCAUAGCAUGGCUGAGUAAUUCCCUUCUAACAACAAAAAUGGACCAUAAUACCCUUCCAAUCAAAAGGGUACAGUUUAAUCUAAACUUUGUAAAGGGCACUACUACAGAAAUGAUUAUCAGUAACGGUCGAAAAAUCAUAUCAGUACCGGUCGGGGCCGCCGUUACUAACUUCGUGUUACUGAUGAUACCCAUCAUCAGUAACGGUCUGGUAACGGUCGCACUGACCGUUACUGAUGUAUAUAUACAUCAGUGGCGGUCGCUCCUCCCGGACCGUUACUGAUGUAUAUAUCAUCAGUAACGGUCGCGUCGCCGCAUCAGUGUCGGUCGAGCGACCGACACUGAUACAUUUUCGGUAUUUAAAAAAAUAAUUAAAAACACAGUAAAUACACAGGAAAUGCACAUCAAAUUAUAUACAGCACAGCAAAUUAUAUACAUAAUGUAUCUCAUCACAGAAAAAUGUAUCUCAUCGCAGAAAAAUACAUAUAAAGCCGCAUCACAUCACAUCACAUCAUUUAAAGCAUACAAAUGUAUAUAAGCCGCAUCAUAUAAAGCAUAUAAAGAAUACAAAUGUAUCUCACUUCACGACAUUGAUUACAAAGUGUCAAAAUUCCAUAAAAGCAUAAUUACAAAGUGUCAAAAUUUCAUGAAAGCAUAUAAAGAAUACAAAUGAAUCUAUUGUCGUGGGUGAACCCUAGGCACGACUUGUUCCACGCGUUCGAAGAAGUCCCCACUAGGCUUGAUAACUUCAUUGUUUAUGAGGGUGAACUCCCUUUGAAUGUUAUAGAUGACCCAUUUAGGUCGGUGUCCCAUUGUCAUUCGGGGCCGCUAGUACUCUUCCAUCGCCGCGACUGACCCCUUCCACUCAGGCUUGAACAUGCUGGCAUUCUCUAUAAGGAUGUGACAGCAGUAGUAGCCACAGAACACACUGCCGGGCGGCUGUUGCUGGCAAGGGAACCUGUGGUUGUGGUGAGGCUCGUCUUUAUAGCCUUUACCAGCUAGUUUUCCCUUGGUCGCCACUGUCCAGGCAGUGUUAAUGAGUGAUUUAAUGGGUUUCCAGAAGCUACCUCGAACACCCUUCUUCGGAAGUAGUGAAUCGAAGUAGUACACCGCGGACCAAGGCAAACAAAUGAGUAUUGUCACCCAAUGGUCUUUGUUUUCAAAAGAAACAAACUUUAGUAUCUAAGGGUGUAUAAGAAAGACUGAAUUAGAAAAAACAAACGGUUUCAUAUAUAAAAUUGAACUUACUCCAAAUUAAGAAAGAAGAGGAUGAAGUCGUCAUCCGCGUAUUUCUCGAGACAUGCCACCAAGUAUUUAGAUGCCAUGGUUCUUGAGGCAUCCUUUUCUGGCACAAGACCGAUGUCACCGUACUUGAACAGCGCGGGGUCUAGAAUGGCUACUUUUUUUACCUUCAAUCGCCGCAGUUCUCUUAUUUGGUAGGCAAACCAUAGCCUUAAGAGGUUGAUAUCAAGCUUUUGGCGGUCACAGAGGUGGAAUAGUUCGUUGAACUCCACACCAAUGGUGAUUAAACGUUCCUGAAUGUUCCCGGUUUCUUGGUCAUAGAAGCCAUAGUCUUUUGGGAUUCUAACAUUGAUCUGUUGGGCAUGCUGUUGAGAACUAGCUGAUGCUUGCAUGUAGAACUGAUGAAUCUGUUGCAUCUCUCUAGACACGGCACGCAGGGAAUUUUCGGUGACCAUCGGUCUUCCAGGAUAGUAAAGAAGCACCCGGUCGAAUUCCCUAGCCACGAAAUAGCCUUGGAAUCUCUAGCCUUGAUAUGGGUUCUUGAUGAGAAUGUCAGACCUAUUGUCCUCCCAGACCCUAGUUAUGUCAGGCACAUGGUGCAUCUCAUCUUGAGUGACAGUGGAGGACUCCUUGAUGGUCUUGCCGCCGCGCCCCUUCUUUUUAUGCCUUCUCUUACUGUCUCAUGCCUUCUGCUCCUCUGCCUUGUACUUGUCAUCGAUCUUGCGGCCACCCAUGGACUCAGCGGCACCCAAGAGAGAGAAGGUGGGAGGGACGCUUCCAGCCUGUGCCGACCCUGUGGUCUGGCUAUCUUUGAGCUGUGCAGACAUCGACAUUGCCCGCUCUUCAUCUCCGCCGGCAUCGACAGGAGGAAGUAUCCUAGGGGAAAGGCCGAGCGGUGAAUGAGAAUUACCUUUCUGGACGGAGGGAGAUGGAGUCAUAGAGAGCCGGCGCUGGUUGUAGAGAGAUACCAAGCUCCUAGGCCACAUAAUUUGGUAGUUUGGACAACUGCCUAGGAUAUCCACGCCUUCCUCCGGAGGUAGCGGGAUACCAUAAUCCCGAUGGUCGUCGACGACGGAGUCCACCAUCACACUCACUUGUGCGUCGUUCAUGAGAAUGCCGUGCACCAGUGGUGGUGAUUGUCUGGGCAUCAGGCGGUCAAUGGCGCCUACAGGCUUCCCAGGCUUGUCAACAUGGAUACGACACUUCACCGGUGCCUGCGCGUAACAAGAAAAAGGCAUAUGUGUAUAAGAUCUUUAUUCAUGAAGGUAAGGAGUGAAAAAGAGUUUGAAAAGCUUGCUUACAAGGAUGUUGUCGCUCGGACCCAGAUCGUUAUCCCGGCUGCCCUCGCUUGGGGAAGGUUGGCUAGUGGGGGGGUUGUCCAUGCUAGGAGCCGGGCUGUAACCUGGGGUGUAGAUGUCUUCGUCCUCCAUACGUGUGUCGAAGGCGGCGCUGCUCUUCAGCGGGGUGCUCUAUCGCGGGGGAAGAGGAGGAAGAGGAGGAAGGAGGUUCCUCAAACCUUCCACUCCUCCCCCGAGUAUGGUGCCAAGGGCGGGGUGAUCUUUGGCUAAUGCCGACACUAAAUGAUGGACAGCUUGCACUGCAUAUUCCCGCGACACCUCUUGAGACACGAUAGAUGCCUGCUCUUGCGCCUCCGCCUUAGCUUGUUCUAUUAUCUUAGAAGAAGCGGGGAGCUUUUUCUGGACCCUGCUUUGCUUCGGAACAGGCGGGAAAUAAUCAUCCCAGCAGGCCCCUUCGCCUUCUCCUAGAACACGGCCCGUGUGCUCCGCCUUUUGCAAGCCGACGGUCACAGCCGACUCCCACCUCUUGCUCUGCACGGAGUUGUCGGAGGUUUCUGACCUCUUGCUCUCCUCCCAUUUGUGGGCAUUUUCCUAUUAUCAUAUAAGACAGGAUGUGAGUCUAUAUGGAUCGGGAGUGUCAUAAUUAACGCCGAAAACAACUAAAUGCACGUGAACCCUUACCGUAAAUUUUUUAACAGGCGGCUGCAUUGGCUCAAUGCCCGCCCACUGCUCGAGUGUCAUGUGCUGACGUGCAUAUUCUCUAGCAUGUUAGUCCUCUAGCAUGUCAUGCACUGGAGGCACCCUGCCUGCCGCCUCGAGAAUUUGGUCCUGCUUGCGCCAGACCUUCUUCUUCCCCUCUUUCCCUGCACUCCCUAGCCUGUCGUUCAAGGGCUUCCUUAAGCGCAGCGCCCUCAUGCGUUCACUCUUCGCAAUGAAGGUAGGGUCAGACGAUUCCUUCUUGAACUUUUUCCAUUCGGCCUCAUCAGUUACCGACGGCCAUUUCUUCUUGAUGAUCUUGUACGGUUUGUCCAUCCACCUUCUAGCGCUGGUUUUCCAAUUAGCAAGUCCAUUGCGGAAUGCUAUGUUGAUGGCAGCUAGGAAUCGCUCGCGCCACUCGUUGGUGACUUGGAACCUCCUUGCAACGUCCGUGAUGCACGUGUCUCUAACGACUUGGGAGAUGUCACUCCACUCGUCGGUGAUCUUGCAAUACUUGCGUGCAACGGCUACAUAGGUCGUUGCGAAGGCCUUCUGUGCCCUCUCUGGCGACUCCGGGCGGCCUCUCUCAGAGUGCCGGGUGACCACGUAACAGAACUUCUUCAAGUUGUGGCUCCCCCUCGGCGUCUUCUUCCUUGGUUUCUUAGCGGGAGUUUCAGAAGGCACAUUUAGGUCAGCUCCUUCACUAGCUACAGAUACACAUUUAGGUCAGCUCCCGGCUGCUUUGGACCCUGUAUGAGCAUGCACAUGUGGAUGUACUUUCUCUUCAUGAUUAACCAUGGAGGAAGUUUGUAGACAAACAAGAUCACUAGCCAUGUGAUGUGCUUGUUGUUCAUAUUUCCGAAAAGAUUUAUCCCGUCAGUGCUGAGACCGAGCCUCAUGUUUCUGGGCUCUGCCCCGAAAUCCGGAAAUGCCAUGUCGAAGUUCCUCCACUGAGUCCCAUCGGCAGGAUGUCUUAGGACCCCAGGUUCCUCCACAUGGUAGUGCCCCUCAGGAUCGAAUGCAGCCUGCGCCGGAUCGUGAUGGACGAGAUACCUCACAUCCUUAACGUUCUGCAUCCAACGUUCAACUCGGCCAAUUGCCGUAAGAUACCAGACAGUCUUUGCCGGCCUGCCCUUCAUCACUUCUUCCCCAUCGUCUUCGCCAGCUCUGACGUUUUUCUUCUUGUAUCUCGAUGCACCGCAUAUGUGGCAACUCUCAUGGUUCUCGUGCUCUCCAAUGUAUACCAUGCAGUCGUUUGGACAUGAAUGAUGUUUCACGCAAUCCAAUCCAAGCGGGCAUGUAAUUUUCUUCGCCUCGUAUGUGCUCUUGGGCAACUUGUUUGGCUGUGGAAAAACUGAAGCAAGGUAACUCAACAAGCCCGUGAAGCCCUUGUCUGACCAGCAUGAUGCUGCCUUUAGCCUCAAAAGUUUGAGCGUCACUUCGAGCACGUUGUUUUCUUCGCCAACUCCAUCAUACAAGGGUGUGUUUGCGUCCUCUAACAAUUUUUUGAACUGAGCAGACUCUGCCUCAUCUUCGGGGUCCUCCAGCUGCUCCCGUAGGUACGGGUCAUCUAGCAUUUCGGCAAUCCUGCCCGUGGAGCUCCUUCACCUUCCACAUUAGCCUCCUCAUCGACUCUCUUUCUUCCUCGGAAUCAUUCGCCAGAUCAUACCGCAGGACAUCAUCAUUUUCGCUACCGCUACCGACAUCAACCGCAUCCUCCCCGUGACAGGUCCAGCGAGAAUAACCAUCCACAAAACCCGAUGCCAGCACGUGCAUCUGAACAUCUUCCGGCUUCAUCAUGCAUGUUUUUCCACAUUUGCGACAUGGGCAACGCAUCAUCAAAAGUCCUUUUCGUUCCAUAUCACCUUUCGCGACUCCAAAAAAGACCAUCCAUUCGGUUAUCCAUCGAGCCUUGAUUCUUUCCUUGGCGUACAUCUAAGAACGGUCCUUCGAUCUACAACACAAUACACAAGAAAACAAAAAAGCAAAAUAGUUAGCCUAAUCAUUGACAAGGAGAUUAAGGUGCUAAUUAACCGGAGCUAACUAAAAUUUUGAAAUUAGAGACAUUCGGAGAGAAAUUGGAGGCCGGCGAGAAAGAUCGGGAGGGAGAGAGAGCUCGCAAGCGAGAGGGAAGCUCCGGGCGACGACGAGAAGGCCGCAUUUUGGCCGGCGGCCGCGGAGCUCAAAAAUUUGAAAUUGGGGAAAUUCGGAGAGAAAUUGGAGGCCGGCGAGAGAGAUCGGGGGGGGGGGGGGGGGGAGAGAGACAUCGGGAGGGAGAGGGAAGCUUAGGGCUCGUAGAUCGGAGCUCGGCGGCCAUGGUCGCUCGCCGGCCAUGGAGGCGGCGCCGCCGGCGCGGGGGGGAGGGAGGAGGGGCUACCUGGGGGGCUCGCCGGCGACCAUGGCGCGGUCAGGCAGCACCUCGCUAUUGCCGGAGAGGAAGGGGCCGCAGCUGGUCUGUUACAACGCGCGGCGCGACCAGCUGCGGCUCCGCUCAGCGUAUUUAGAACGCGACGAGCAUCAGUGUCGGUCGAGGUUUCCGCGACUGUUAUUGAUAAUCGUGUACACAUCAGUGACGGUCGAGCUGGGCCGACCGUUACUGAUGCAUGGUUAGUCAGUGGCGGUCGCCCCAUAACCGACCGCCAUUGAUGUUACUCGCGAGCUAUGGGUGUACAUCAGUGGCGGUCGUUUCUCGCGACCGCCACUGAUGUGUCGCUGGCCAGAGACAGGCGGUGCCUGCUCGGUUCAUCAGUAACGGUCGUGGUCGCGACCGACACUGAUGUUCUUCAUCAGUAACGGUCGCGCCGGACCCGUUACUGAUGUCGUUGCAUAUAGACCGUUUUGUAGUAGUGGGGGUAUAUAUUGAACCAAAUCUCAUUUAUUUUCUAUACUAUAAUAUAUGGGUUUGCUCAUGCAUAUCUAAGAUUUUGUUGUCUUUGUUUCUCUAAUGGCAUAGAAUAUGCAUUACAGGUAACAUUUGCAUUACAUGGUUUGGCCCAAUUCCGAAGGUGAUCAUCACAGAGCCGGAGCUAGUGAGAGAAAUCCUAUCAAACAAGUCUGGCCACAUCGAGAAGUUCACGAACAAACGUCUGAUGAAGCUGAUAGCCCUUGGGAUUGCAAGCUAUGACGGGGAUAAAUGGGCGAAGCAUCGGAGGAUUCUGAACCCUGCUUUCCAUCUGGAAAAGCUCAAGGUACUAUUUUUUACAAGCUCCUAGCUCCUGUACGCACAACAACACCAUAUGUGUGUGCUAACCGAUGCUAUUUUAGGGCAUGUUGCCGGCUUUCGUGACGUGCUGCACCGAGCUAAUUGGCAGCUGGGAGAGUAAACUAGCUAUUUCAAAUGGAUCACAAGAAAUAGACAUCUGGCAGGAGUUCCAAAACCUCAGCGGAGACGUGAUCUCACGCACAGCGUUCGGAAGCAGCUUCAUGGAAGGACGAAGGAUCUUCCAGCUUCAGGCAGAGCAAGCCGUGCGAGUAAUGAAAGCCUUCCAAUGUAUUUACAUCCCAGGCUAUUUGUAAGUACCCUCUUUUGUUUGAACUAAAUAAUCUAGCAGGAUGACCAACACAUUCAUAUUACUAGGUUUAUUAUGUAUAUUGCAUUUAUAUUUUUAAGGUUUAAUACUUUAACUUCGAGAAAUAAGUAUACAGGAUGG
rnacentral:lncRNA from 1 species